AUCAACAUCUAUAUUCUUAUACUAGUAUUGUAGAUAUUGAUUACUCUUACUUUGUAGUGAGUUUUGAAGUCAGGAAGUAUGUAUCUCCCAUGCCAACCUUUUUUCUUCUUUCUCAAAGUUAUUUAGGCUGCUAUGGGUCUAUUUCAUUAUAUAUGAAUUUUAGAUAAACUUUGUGAAUUUAGAGAAUGGAUGUGUCACCUGGGAUUUUGAUAGAGGUUGCGUUAAAUCUAUAGAUCCAUUUGGAAAACAUUACCAGCCUAACAACAUUAAUGUUUAUAAGCAAUGAAUAGUCAAAGGUUUUUUUCCAUUUAUUUCUAUCAAAAUGUUUUCUGUAGUUUUUGGGUAUAUAUCUUAUACUUAAUUUGAUAAACUUAUUUUUGAUGUCAUCUCAAAUGGAACAUUCUGAGUUUUUUGUUUUAGAUUGUUAAUUGCUAGCAUAUAGAAAUUCAGAGGAUUUUAUAUAGUGACCUUAUAUACUGCAAAUUUGUUGAACUCAAUUAUAAAUUCUAAACAUAUUUGAUUAGAGUCCUUUGGAAAUUUUAUACAUAAGAUCAUGUCAUAUGCCAACAGACAGAGUUUGACUUUUUUUCCAUACUGGAAGCCUUAUAUUUAUUUUUCUAGACUAAUUGCCAUGUCUAUAUCCUCCAGUACAAUGUUGAAAACAAGUGUCCAGAGUGGAAAUCUUUGUCUUGUUUCUAAUCUUGGAGAAAUUAGUGAACCUUUCAGAUAAGCUAUAAUGACAUAUUGGUUUUUCAUGGAUCCUCUUUAAAAGGAAGACAGUUCCCUUAUCUGCCUCAUUUGCUGCAUAUUUUUCUCAUAGGGAGUUUGAGAAUUCUCAAGUGCCUAUGCAUCUUCUGAGAUGAUUAUGUGGUUUUUUUCUUUAUUAUAUGAAUAUAGUGCAUAGCACUAGUUGUAUUGUAUGUUGAACCAAAUUUUGCUUUUCUGAGGUAAAUACCCUUGACAUAGUGUAUAAUAAUUUUUACAUGUUUCUGGUUUGUUUUACUAAUAUUUCCUUGAUGAUUUUUGCCCCUGUAUUCAGAAGGUGUAUUGUUCUUCAUUUUCCAUAUUUGAAAUGUCUUUGUCUAAUUGUGGUAUCAGGGUAAACUAACUCAGUGUACAAUGGGAAAUCACGCCUUCUCCACUUUUUGGGAGUAAUUUGUAAUACAUUAGUAUUAAUUGUUUAAAUGAUUCCAAUAAUUCACUAAUGAAUUCUUCUUGAUGAGGUCAGAGUGGUUAAUCCUAAGAACAGUUACAUGAGCUUGGAAGGAGACCUUUCCCCAGCUGAGCCUUAGCCUGGGCCAUCACCUACAUCUGGACUGAAGAACCAGAGAAACUACUCCAUCAGGAAUUGUUUGGGACCGUGCAUUCUGUUGACACUCACAUUGUGGAAUUAUGUUGCCCACUGCCAACCCUAAAGCCACCAAGGUAGCAGGUUUGGAAUAAUUCAUCCGUAAAGUCUUCUUAACCUGUUCAAUCACGAGAACUUAGAAGAUGAUUCCUCCCCAGCUGAUCCUUCACGUGAGACCUCAGCCUUGACCAUCAUCUACAGCUGGAUUCCUGACCCAGAGAAACUGUGAGUAAUUUGUGUGUGCUUUUGAGCCAGUAAGCUACGUGGUAAUUGGCUAUGCUGCAAUAAACAAUAAUACACUUGACAGUAAACAUAAUAUGUUAUCCUUGAUUAGAUCC